GUGUGGGAUGGGGUCAGUCCGUAUCUGUGUCCUGUGCUGAGAUGAAUGGACGAUAUGUGAACAUCAUUAUACCUGGAAGUUCAAAAGUUCUCUCUGUGUGUGAUGUACAGGUGUAUAGUCUGAAAGUCAUAAAAGGUUUCAUGAAGAUAAAAUUUACCUCCAGUCUCGAUAUGUCAGAUCCAGAACAGAGCAACAAAGUUCUUAAUGAGAUAAAGACUGCUCUGAUUUCUAGAGGAUACUCUAUUUUCACAUUGACCUGGACAAAACUCCCUCAGAAGAUCAAACCGGAGACUAAGG